rnacentral:sRNA from 1 species
AUUUAUCUCAUAUAUAAGAUAAUAUAUCUUUCUAUUUAUCUGUACUCUUUUUUUUGUUAAUUAGAGACAAAUGGCAACGCCAUUCCCACUGGAAGUCUGGUCAAAGAAUCUAUUUUUAAACUGGUGGACGACGGCUAUAGAAAAUUUAUUUCAUCUCAGCUUAAAAAAGCUGAUGACGUGCAUCAAAGACUUGCUACACUGGAACAGACCCAGUCCAAGCUCAGCACAGACUUCACUGACUUCAAAGAACAAGUGCUGAAAGACAUGCAAGCCUUGCACAUCGUCACGGAGCAGCUCCAAAUGAGCGUUCAAAAAUCCAUCGACCAGCAGGAGAAGUUUGCGCUCAGCGUUCAUGACCAGUUUACGGAAACGGCUGACCACCUGGGCGGACAGCUCAUGAGCGUUUUAAAAGAGCUCCAAGAGGUCAGCAACAACCACAAGCACAUGGUCACCUCCUUAUCCCUGAUCGUCAGCAGCUACGUCUGCCCAACAGUCCAGAGCGAGAAACAAGGGAAGAAGAUCCAUGUCAAGCAAUGAACCCAGAUAGACGAUUUAUGUAUUGCAUCUAGACUAUAUGCUAACAUAACUCAACUGUUCCUAUUUGAAACUAUUCGAUUAUUUUUGUAGUCGUGUUCGGAGUACAUUGUGUUAGAUAGUGGCGCCUUUCCACGUCUUACUUAAAUCAUUCUGUGUUAUUGAAUAGUGAGCUUUUAUGAGCGAUUAUUUGCGCUUCUAUCAACAAAUGUACAUGAAUAUUAAAAUAGAAUGAAUAGAAGGAUGGAUUAUAGGCCCACCUAGCAUCAGAUGCCUCCCUUAGUCCCAGCCGUACACGUAGCGAGUGUUUUAAUGUGCCAUUUCUUCACCUAUAGACCUAUGGCGAAUAUUAAUUUAUCCUGUUCAAAUAGAUCGAAACUUUUAUUGAAUAGAACAAUUUUAAUGAGUAAAGAGUUUCAACACAAUUUUUAUAAACGUAAUACACAUUUAGGAGCAAUGCCAACAACCAUUGAAAAAAAUGAACUUCUCUUCUUUGCAUAUUAUUGAACUCUAUGUGAUAAUUGUGAUAUUAUUGAAUAAUUAACUUUUUGCUUUCUGGAUUAUCUUAACAUUUUCUUAGACGAUCUUUUAUUCUAGUGCGGAAAUGUCCAUCUGUCAAGACGUCUACUGUGUCUAGGUCUCAAUACCUAGAAAAUCUAUUGAAAUAUUCGAUUUUAUAAUGUUUUUUAAGUUGUUCAAUGACUACUAUCUGACGCCGGCUGAAUAAAACCCUCUUCAUUUUCUAAA